rnacentral:rRNA from 1 species
UACAGAGGGGGGCAAGCGUUGUUCGGAAUUACUGGGCGUAAAGGGCGCGUAGGCGGCCUGCUAAGUCGAACGUGAAAUCCCUGGGCUCAACCCAGGAACUGCGUCCGAUACUGGUUGGCUUGAAUCCGGGAGAGGGACGUGGAAUUCCAGGUGUAGCGGUGAAAUGCGUAGAUAUCUGGAGGAACACCGGUGGCGAAGGCGACGUCCUGGACCGGCAUUGACGCUGAGGCGCGAAAGCCAGGGGAGCAAAGCGGG